GUCAUAAAUUGCAAUUCGCCGCUUCCUAUUUAUAUUUGUAAAUUUCAAUGUUUAAAUAAGCAAAUAACAAGUAUUAUUUGUUGUUUUGUUUAACUAAAAAUGUACGUAAAUACAUGGAAAGUGUUGUGUGAAUGAAGUGUGCUCAUUUAAAGCGCUCUUGCAUUCAAUUACGGCACAUGUGUGUGUCAUAAUUCCUGAGUGCCUUCAAUUGAAAUGUGUAAAAAAGAAAUUUAAGUGAAAUUCUACAAUUGUCCAACUGCUGUGCGAUAAAAAUAGCGCGCAAUGAUACAUAGUAAUACAAAUUGGAACAAUUAAUUAUCUAAUAUUGGAGCAGGAACCUCAGAUACAUUGUCAGGGGCACGUAUGCAGUCCCAAGUGAAACUGGAUUGUGGCGGAAUUUGUUGAGCAGCUUGGCAGAUGAAUCAACAUGUGCGAAUAUGACAUGCUCUGCUACAAUUGUGCAGCGAUAAGUCAAGGUCAGACGACGGAGGCUUUGGAAUUAUGAUGCAGUAAAAACAAAAGCAAACUAUAUUAUUAUAAUAAUAUAUAUGUAAACUACAGAUGCAUAAACAUUUUGAGGCCUAACAGCGGCAGCAGUGCAUCUUAAAAGCCUGAGUGUGUAGACGGCUGCAGAUAUAUUUUUAUGCUAUAAGGUGCGGUCAUACAACGAAGACAAUUGGAAGACAAGUUGGAUAAAGGUUCAUAUCUGUUAAUAUUACAAGACAUUUAUAAAAUAAAUUUAUUUUAAGCAUAGAUUUAAGUCAUAAAAUCAAUCAAGAGUCUAAAAAACUGUAAUUUCCUAAAGGGUUACUCUCCAAAUGUCUUAAUUUGUCUACGUCAAUCAACAUAAUCCACGCUGAUAACACACAUUGAAGUGCCUCUAAGUAGUACUCGCGCUCCAAAAAACUUGUAAUGUGCGUGUGAAUUAGUGGGCGUUGUCGUGAAGGCAAAGGAAAAGUAUGAGUUUUUACGCACUAUAUAUUGAUUAUCAAUCCAGACAUGUAUUGAAGGUGUUGCUGUGGAAGAUGGAUGAGCUGAUAACACACAAAAAUAAAUAUUUUAAACAACAUGUAUGGACGCUUGAUUUGAUAUUUAUGUAAUACACAUACAUAUGUACAUAUAUAUGUGUGAGUGUAGAUAUGUAUUGUAAAGCAAUUAAGCGAUAAACUUAUCAAAACUACUGUAAAACGUACUCGUAGAUUAUCAAAUUAUUGGAAAAUACUGAGAAUACUCAGUUUAUAAUAUUUUUAUUGAAGGAGCAGAGCGAUUUAUUCAAGUGUGUAAUUAUAUGUAUGUAUGUUUGUUCUAUCACAAAUAAACAUAUUUACUAACUCGCUCGCUUUACGUUUGUAAACAAUACUAAGCAUGUCAAUAAGGUAUCACGUGCUGCAAUAUAUACUUACACAGCAUAUACAGACAUACAUACGCUUAGUAUUUAAAGUAGUAUGAGUUAUCUUAAUGGAAAAUUAUUAACAAAUUAAUUGAAUGGCUGCUGAUAUGUAUGUACAUAUAUGAGUGUGUAGGCGUAUAUUAUUUAAUACUUUUUUUUAUAGUAGCAGUCACAAUGUCUUAACAACUAAUUGAUUAUAAAUUAUUU